rnacentral:rRNA from 1 species
GCGGCAGGCUUAACACAUGCAAGUCGAGCGGGGAUAGGGUGCUUGCACCUGAUUCCUAGCGGCGGACGGGUGAGUAACACGUUGGUACCUACCCUCUAGUGGGGAAUAACUUCGAGAAAUCGAGGCUAAUACCGCAUAAUCACUACGGAUUAAAGCAUUUAUGCGCUAGAGAAGGGGCCUGCGUCUGAUUAGCUAGUUGGUGAGGUAAAAGCUCACCAAGGCGACGAUCAGUAGCUGGAUCGAGAGGUUGACUAGCCCACACUGGGACUGAGAUACGGCCCAGACUCCUACGGGAGGCAGCAGUGAGGAAUCUUCCACAAUGGGCGAAAGCCUGAUGGAGCAAUGCCGCGUGCAGGAUGACGGCCUUCGGGUUGUAAACUGCUUUUAUAUGGGAAGAUUAUGACGGUACCAUAUGAAUAAGGACCGGCUAACUACGUGCCAGCCGCCGCAGUAAUAC